rnacentral:rRNA from 1 species
GAGUUUGAUCAUGGCUCAGAACGUACGCUGGCGGCACGCCUAACACAUGCAAGUCGAACGAAGUAGCAAUACUUAGUGGCAGACGGGUGAGUAACAUGUGGGUAUCUGCCCUUUGGCCUGGAAUAACACGAGGAAACUUGUGCUAAUACCAGAUAAGUCUUUACGGAGAAAGCUUUAUGCACCAUUGGAUGAGCCCGCACUUGAUUAGUUUGUUGGUGGGGUAAUGGCCUACCAAGACUUUGAUCAAUAGCUGAUUUGAGAGGAUGAUCAGCCACAUUGGGACUGAGACACGGCCCAAACUCCUACGGGAGGCAGCAGUGGGGAAUCUUGCACAAUGGAGGAAACUCUGAUGCAGCGAUGCCGCGUGAGUGAAGAAGGCCCUUGGGUUGUAAAGCUCUUUCGUCGGGGAAGAAAAUGACUGUACCCGAAUAAGAAGGUCCGGCUAACUUCGUGCCAGCAGCCGCGGUAAUACGAAGGGACCUAGCGUAGUUCGGAAUUACUGGGCUUAAAGAGUUCGUAGGUGGUUGAAAAAGUUGGUGGUGAAAUCCCAGAGCUUAACUCUGGAACUGCCAUCAAAACUUUUCAGCUAGAGUUUGAUAGAGGAAAGCAGAAUUUCUAGUGUAGAGGUGAAAUUCGUAGAUAUUAGAAAGAAUACCAAUUGCGAAGGCAGCUUUCUGGAUCAUUACUGACACUGAGGAACGAAAGCAUGGGUAGCGAAGAGGAUUAGAUACCCUCGUAGUCCAUGCCGUAAACGAUGUGUGUUAGACGUU